UAGAAUAAUAAAAAUUUAAUUCCGAAUUUUCGCAGCCUCUUUUUUUUUGACCUUUUUUGGUUGAACCCGACCCGAACACCUCCUUUUUUGCCCAGAAACGAUAUGCACCGUAGAGAUGUGAUCCGACGGGCUGAAAUCGCUCGCGUUCGAAGCCGAGCUCAGCCAUGGCGUCGUCAACUCUCCAAAACGAAAACUCACCGAUCACCACCCUUAGCUCACUUCCGUUUCGGUGGCAAGAGUUGCUGUUCUUUUCCCAGGCGUUUUGCGCGAGCCGAGCUCGUUUACACUAGUUGGUGUUUUGCGCUUAUGCGGUUGAUCCAGGGCAUUUCCAGAACCCUUCUUUUUUGGGUUUCAUGGGUUAAAGUUCGUCGCUUUCUUUGCCCUUUCGUCCGUUUUAGGGAAACCCUCAAGUUAUGUGUCUUCGGGGUUUCAGCUUUUCAGGCCGGGUGGUGCUCUUGCUUUUUUCUCUUCUGAUUCUGGGCUUGAAAGGACUCAAAUUUGAUCGUGUCAUGAUGCGGAUUAAUUCAUUCAUAGCCGCACGUGUUCCUUCCUUUUCUUCUUCUUCGCGAUGCUUUUCGUGUCGGCUGGCAUUAGUCGGUGUGUUCCGAUACAUGCAGACGCCCGAUGCUUCGAAAAAGGAGAAAUGAAUGGCAGUCUAGUUAUAUGUUGUAUGAGCUCUUCUGGCAGGUGAAACUCUGCUUUGUCCGAUUGCGUCGAGAAAGGACUCAAAUUUGGUAAUAUCAUGAUUUAAAUCGAUUUGGUUUGUUGCAGCAUGUGUUCCUCUGUGUGGUUCAAUGUGAUGACGAUUGGGUACGGAGUCCAGUCUAUGAUGACAAAUUGUCUUUGAAACAUGAUGGGCUAUCAUUUGUUAUAAUCCUUGUUUAUGUUAGUAGAGCGGCUGUUCUAUUCUGGUUCAGAGUUAUACCUUUUCUUCCAUCAUGUUGAUUUUCCUCACCUUUAGAGAUAAGGCUAAAUCCGGGAGAGCUGUUUUGGCGAGUGUUAUUUCUUCUUAUGAAAAUUACUCCCUGCCAUGCUUAUUAUAGAUGGGUUACGGCUAAUGGCGUGUUUUUGUGGGGCUAUGCGUCAGUCAGAACAGCUGGUAAAUAGUGGCUUGAUUGGAGUCUUAUCAUUACAUGAGUUUCAUUCCUAUCCCUUUGUUAGAUCUGACUUUCAUGAUAGAGAUGCUUUGUUUUGUUUCUAGUUUGAGAUGGCACCUCAGACUCAAAGGUCCGCAGCUCAAGGAAAUUCCCAAGCAGUUGAGCCUAAAAAGGAAUGGAUGCAUCACAAGAAGCAGUCAGUUAACAAGACUGUUAGACACGAGCAGUGUGGGCAACAGCUAGCAGGGGGCAGAACUGUUCUGACUGCAAAUCAACGGGAUGUAGUGAUUCAUUUACUGCAAACCACCCACGAGCUAAUUCUGGAGAUACAACAAAAGUGUGCUGGUAUUCAAGCUUGGUUCACGCAGCAACUGCGUAAUAACAAUUUCAUGAAACUAAAUCCACCAACUUUUUUGGGGGUUGCCAACCACUCAGAGGCUGUAUCUUGGUUGAUUAAAAUGGAGGAGCUUUUCAAUGUAUUUGGGCGCUCCUAUGAAGAGAAAGUGGAUUAUGCCACCUAUAGGUUGAGCGAGACUGCUAUCACUUGGUGGCAGCUUGAGAAAAGUAAGUGCAAACUGGGCGCGGAGCCAUGUACUUGGGAUAACUUUGAAAAGGCUUUCUGUGCACAGUACAUCCCAGACAGUGUUCGACUUCAAAUGGCAGAAGAUCUCAUCAACCUGAAGCAGAAGAACUUGACCGUAGUUUAGUAAACUGGCAAGGUUUGUGCCACUGUGGGUGGACGGAGAUGAGGUCCUUGCUCGGAGGUUUGAAGGGGGAUUGAGGCCUCAGAUUAAGGCAUUGGUGAUGCCGUUCGAACUAAAGGCAUACAGGGAUAUUGCCAGAAAAGCUUCUUUGGUUGAGAAAUGCCUCCUCGAGGUAGAAAUGAUGUGCAAAAGAAGAGGCAUGCCAUCGAGGUGCCCCAACAAGAACAGGAUUCAUAUAAUCCCAAGGGCAGGGAUUCAAAGUGCUUGCGCCUUUAGAUGGAAAGAGACUUGAUCAAUCUGAAAGAGAAUAACUUGACAGUGGCCGAAUAUGAGGCUGAGUUUGAUAGACUAUUUGAUAGACUAGCGACUUUUGCUCCUUCCUUGGUAGCAGAUGAGGCAAUCCGAGCAUUGAGAUUCGAGGAGGGAUUGAAGCCUCGGAUCGAACUUGUUGUGGUCCCAUUUGAGCUGAAAACUUUCACUGCUGUGGUGAAUAAGGCUAAGCUGGUAGAUAGAGUUCUCGAGGCGGAAGUUGGACACGGACAGAUUUGAAUCUGCUUGAUCAGGAGUUCCUUCACCCUUUCUUUUGCCUCGUCAAUCAGGACUUGAGAUGCUCGUGGCCUAAAAAAUGUAUAGGGAAUCAGGGACAUUGUGAAUAGCAUGGAUCUUCUUUCUCUUUCGUUUUUGCCUUGUUAUCAGGACUCGGGAUCCUAAAGAUUGUGGAUGGUCUGUUUGAAAGGUUCAUGAGAACUGGUGGGAAGACAGACAAAGAACUCGUGAAUGGCGAUUAGCUUUUUUUUGGGUUGUUUUUGUUUACUUCCACGAGGAGCUUUUCGUUUGGGACACAACUGCUGCUGUAAACUGAGCUUUGUGUCUUUUUACAACGAUGCCCUAGCUAGAUUAUGCUCAGAGUUAGUCGUAGCUAAGUGGUUACGCACUUGAAAUAAUCUAUAAAUCUAGGCAUGUCACA